ensembl:lncRNA
AUUUCACUUUUGCUCUUGUAUCUUUUUCAUUUGCUCUUGCUUUCUAUUUCUUUCUUUAUUUCACUCUCAGACUCCUCUGCUCUUCGUUCCUUUUUCUUUCACUUGUCUACUGGUACAGCCCAUCACUUCUCUUUCCUGUUGAACACAUCAGACUAUCGCAUCCUGCGCAUGGAUGAGGAUCACGACCGCAUGUAUGUGGGCAGCAAAGACUACAUCCUGUCUCUGGACCUCCAUGACAUCAACCGAGAACCCCUCAUAAUACACUGGCCUGUUUCUCCACAGAGGAAGAUGGAGUGUGUUCUGAGUGGCAAAGACACAAACGUGAGUAAACUGUGUGCAUCACCUGAUCAUCUGCACAUCUGCGGGGUGCAUUUCAUUGGGGGUACCGCCAUGCAUCUCCAGAUGCCCCAGACCAGAGGAAGAUCUAGUCGUGCAGCUGAACCUGAAACAGUGUUUGAUGAGACAGGACUACAGGAAUAUGUCUUCCAUCUGGAGCCCGGCAAGGAGGAUUCUGGGAAGGGAAAGUGCCCAUAUGAUCCAAAACUGAACAGUGUCUCCACUUUGAUUAAUGGAGAACUGUAUGCAGGGGUGUAUAUUGAUUUCAUGGGAACAGACUCUGCUAUUUUCCGAACUUUGGGGAAAAAUGCAGUCAUGCGCACUGACCAAUACAACUCAAGAUGGCUAAAUGACCCCUCAUUUGUCCAUGUGCACCUUAUCCCUGACAGCAACGAAAAAAACGAUGACAAACUCUACUUUUUCUUCCGUGAGAAGUCUUCCGAGAUGGGCCAGAGCCCCAAAUUACAGUCACGCAUCGGUCGAAUCUGCCUGAACGAUGAUGGCGGUCACUGCUGCUUGGUCAACAAGUGGAGCACCUUCCUGAAAGCCCGUCUCAUCUGCUCAGUCCCAGGAGCUGAUGGGAUUGAAACACAUUUCGACGAGCUCAGGGAUGUGUACAUACAGCCUACGCAGGACACUAAAAAUCCCGUCAUCUAUGGGGUCUUCUCUGUGUCUGGCUCUGUAUUCAAAGGCUCAGCGGUCUGCGUCUACUCAAUGGCAGACAUUCGGAUGGUGUUCAAUGGACCUUUUGCUCACAAAGAAGGUCCCAAUUAUCAGUGGGUGGCCUACUCUGGAAAAAUCCCCUACCCUCGUCCAGGAACAUGUCCUGGUGGGACUUUCACCCCUAACAUGAAGUCCACGAAAGACUACCCUGACGAGGUCAUCAACUUCAUGCGGAACCAUCCCACCAUGUACAAUACUGUGUAUCCGGUGCACAAGCGCCCCCUGGUGGUCAGGACCAACGUAGACUAUGAGUUCACCACCAUCACUGUGGACCAGGUGACUGCAGCCGAUGGCAACUACGAAGUGCUCUUCCUGGGUACAGACAGAGGUACAGUACAGAAGGUUAUCGUCCUGCCCAGAGAUGACCUGCAGACAGAGGAACUACUGCUAGAGGAAGUGGAGGUCUUUAAGGUGAGAUCUGCACCGGGGUCUCCAGGUCAACAACUAUAUGUAGCGUCAGCGGUUGGUGUGACUCAUCUGGCCCUGCACAGGUGUGAUGUCUAUGGCGAGGCCUGCGCAGACUGCUGUUUGGCCCGGGACCCUUAUUGUGCAUGGGAUGGCAAGUCCUGUUCUCGGUACUCUGCCUCACAGAAGAGACGCAGUCGGCGACAGGAUGUGAAAUACGGGAAUCCCAUACGGCAGUGCAGAGGAUACAAUUCUAACACUAAUAAGAACACUCUGGAGACGGUGCAGUAUGGGGUGGAGGGCAGCAGCACGUUUUUGGAGUGCCAGGCCAGAUCACCCCACGCUGCCAUUAAAUGGCAUCUCCACCGAGACAACAGCGAUAGAAGGAGAGAGGUCCGUACCGAUGGGCGCGUGUUGAAGACAGAUCAAGGCCUACUACUGCCUUCCCUCCAGUCCUCAGACUCUGGCAUCUACGUUUGCACAAUUCAGCUAAUUAUGGCUCAUAGCCUAAAAAUUAAUUUAGAUAAACUGGUGAAGGCUGCAAUAUUAUAA